rnacentral:rRNA from 1 species
AAUUCCUUGUCGGGUAAGUUCCGACCUGCACGAAUGGCGUAACGACUUCCCCACUGUCUCCAGCAUAGACUCAGCGAAAUUGAAUUCCCCGUGAAGAUGCGGGGUUCCUGCGGUCAGACGGAAAGACCCCAUGAACCUUUACUAUAGCUUUGCGCUGGCACUUGUGUCGGCAUGUGCAGGAUAGGUGGUAGGCUUUGAAGUCGGGGCGCCAGCCUCGAUGGAGCCGCAAGAUGAGAUACCACCCUUAUCGUCAUAGGUGUCUAACCGCGGCAUAACAGUGUCCGGGACAGCGCAUGGUGGGUAGUUUGACUGGGGCGGUCGCCUCCCAAAAGGUAACGGAGGCGCCCAAAGGUUCCCUCAGCCUGGUUGGCAAUCAGGUGUUGAGUGUAAGUGCACAAGGGAGCUUGACUGUGAGACUGACAGGUCGAGCAGGGACGAAAGUCGGGACUAGUGAUCCGGCAGUGGCUUGUGGAAGCGCUGUCGCUCAACGGAUAAAAGGUACCCCGGGGAUAACAGGCUGAUCUUCCCCAAGAGUCCAUAUCGACGGGAUGGUUUGGCACCUCGAUGUCGGCUCAUCGCAUCCUGGGGCUGGAGAAGGUCCCAAGGGUUGGGCUGUUCGCCCAUUAAAGUGGCAC